GACAGAGGGGGCAAGCGUUGUCCGGAGUUACUGGGCGUAAAGCGUCCGCAGGUGGCAAUGUAAGUCUGCUGUCAAAGCGUCUGGCUCAACCAGAUAAAGGCAGUGGAAACUACAUAGCUAGAGUAAGGUAGGGGUAGAGGGAAUUCCUGGUGUAGCGGUGAAAUGCGUAGAGAUCAGGAAGAACACCGGUGGCGAAAGCGCUCUGCUGGACCUUAACUGACACUGAGGGACGAAAGCUAGGGGAGCGAAUGGG
rnacentral:rRNA from 1 species